AUUGCUGGAUUCAGAGGCUAGAUGUAAACCACUUCUGAUGAUAACAUACCUCCCUUUUUCUUAUCAUAGAGAGAAGAAAAAAGGGAAAUAGGGGAAGCCGAUGCUAAAAGGGAAAUAGGGGCUUUAGACAUCUUAAACUGCUCCCUGCUGUCUAGGAGCAUUAUCAGUUUUGGGGUGUAGCUGACUUUCACCAUUCAGGUCCACUUGAUAGUUGUGUAAAAGGAACUGUUUGAGUUUUCAGUUACAAAAUUUUGACUUUUUCUUUGAAGGAAUGUGGAAACAAGAUUAAUGAGGCAGGGAGGAAAUAGUAGCUCCAGGAAAAUGGGGAGAAGAGGCAUUAAGAAGGGCAGUAUCCUAUUUCCAUGUAGGGUUUUGAAAAACCCAGGAAUUGGAGGCCUCAUGCUGUUCCCUAAAUUUCUAGAUGUCUGGUUGCAGCUGAUGGAAUUUAUUUCUUACUGCCCCAGAUUCAUUGACAUAGAAACAGCAUUCUUCCUGGAGAAACAGACAAAGACCACCUUCUUUAGCUGUCAGAACAUCUAGUCCCUGUCAGUUCUGAAGCACAAAUGGUGCCAAAGAAUCGAUCUUUUUCUGGAUUAUGAGCAUGGUUUCAUACAUUCCUUGGAAACCAUUGUCAAGCUGGGAUAAGAACUUCGUGUAUAGGGUUACGGAAAUCGUCGGCCCUGCUGUUCCACUGCCAGCACCUGUAGCUACUUCUGCAGCAACCAGGAAUAGCACAACCUGCAGUGCCCUCUUAUGCUGGACAGGUAUGCUACAGGUACAAAGGAGGGUCCCAGUUGGUGACCUAAAUUACCAAAUGUUGGUAUCAGGAACUGCUUUUGCCUCCAGCAAUGAUGUCAUCUGCUCACCUGAGCAUCUGUUGUCAAGGCAACGGUCAUCCAUAUCCAGCAUACAUUUCAUGUUACAGUUACACUACAUUUCACAUAAGAGGCAGAUCCUUUCUGCCCUCUUCCACUUCUCUCUCCUCUCUUCCCUUUUUCUCCUCUCUUUCUCUCCUACCUCUCUUCACCCCUUGGCUUUUGUCUCUAUCAUUCCAAUAAACCUCUCCACGUGGA